rnacentral:piRNA from 1 species
CAACCUAGAAGACCAGGCGUAUGGUC